UACGUUGCAUACAUACACAUAUAUGACAUAUAUGUGUGUGUGUUUUCUUUUAAACAAUUGCAAGUUUCCAAAUACAUGCAAAGUAAAUUGAAAGAGUUGAUAGAGUUGCAGCAUUUUUAGAGAAAUAUCAAUGUUUCCCUCAUGCGCUAUUAAUUGUUGGUGACAUAGCUCAUGUAUUAAAGUCUUCUGUCACAGUUGACUCAGCAAGAAUGAAGACAUUGAUACACUUUUGCAUUAUGGAAUACACAAGUUGGCAGUUCCUUACCCACUGCCACCCAAAUACAGGUGGCAUCAGAUUACAAUUGGCAAACAUAAAGCCAUUUUUACAAAGGUUUUCCUAUAAAAGAAAAAAGAAACACUUAAUAAAGUACUUGCUGCAAUUACUUUCAAAAGACUAAAACUGGACAUAUUGUUUUAGAAAAAGCUACGACAUACAAAAAGGCUUUCAGAUCAUUUAAAAAUCACUAAAUGGAAGAACCAUCGGUAAUAUGGAGACGAAGUGAUUAUUAUGUGGCAAAAGAUUAUUUUAUGAAGUUUUUCAUUUUCUGAAUGCGUGAUAGAACUUAUUGGAAUACACUUGUCAUGGACAUGGGAGGAGUAUUGCCGCUACAAGCAUGAACAAUAAUAAAACAUUCCAAAGAACAAUUUGUUAUUUCAACGAUUAGAUUUGUUGUUUAAAUGU